rnacentral:lncRNA from 1 species
AAUCAAGGUUCAAAGUGUGUGAUCCAGCAUCAAGGCCAAAGCGACAAGAUGAGAUCGAAUCAUCCGCCCACAGUGACGUAAUGAUUCAGAAUCCAUAGGCCAAAGCGUCAAGAAUGGAUCGAGUUCCAGGCCACUGUAACUCAUGUUUAUAGUCCUUCUCUGAUCAGGGGCGACUGCACUGUGUUAUCGAGGCCGAAACGACAAGAUAAAUUCCGGCCAAAGCGACGGAAUCGAUUAAGGCUAUUUAGCGACAGAAUCGGGUUCUUGCCAGAGCGAUAGAACCAAGUUCUAGCCGAA